UACGUAGGGCGCAAGCGUUGUCCGGAAUUAUUGGGCGUAAAGAGCUCGUAGGCGGCCUGUUACGUCUGCUGUGAAAUCCCGGGGCUUAACCCCGGGCGUGCAGUGGAUACGGGCAGGCUGGGGGCAGGCAGGGGAGAACGGAAUUCCCGGUGUAGCGGUGAAAUGCGCAGAUAUCGGGAGGAACACCGGUGGCGAAGGCGGUUCUCUGGGCCUGUACUGACGCUGAGGAGCGAAAGCGUGGGGAGCGAACAGG
rnacentral:rRNA from 1 species